rnacentral:lncRNA from 1 species
CUCGGCUUCAUGAGUAGAGAAUUGUUUCCAGGAACUCCUUUUCCCCAGCAGGUCUGCCAGAUCCCACUUUGCCCGCGCUAAUUAGACAGGCAGUCUGCCUUAAAUCAUGCUGGGUAGGGUUCAGUGCUGAGCUUGAAUUACCAGAGGACUCUUACUUUAUCAACAAGAGUAUAUUGGGCUGGAACCUGCAAUCCAAGUGCCCUGGCGGUCUAUAUUUCACUUAUUUCCAGAAGAAAAUCUCAAGUUCAGAGCAGCAAGUCAGACAAGGGUUUGUCAUCUUUGAGAUUUCCCCCUUAAGAAGUGGGAUUAGAUUUCCAAGAGACUUUUGCACCUACAAAUAUGUACAGACUAAGAACUGACAGAAGGCACUACUUCCAGAUGCAUUUCCUCAGUCUUGCAGGUAUGAUUAUUGGGGAGAUUCCUCUAACUGCAAAUUCUUAACAAGUCAGUCCAAAGAACUAUACUACUUUUGUUAUUCCUUGUGCUGUUUCUGACACAGAGUUCUGUGUGAACUUUUAGCAGUCUGGUGUGCCACAUUUCAGGUGCUGCACCAUUAUUCUUUUCAAUUCUUCCCUUUGGUUUCUUUUAUUCUUGUUCUGCUGUUACACUAAUCAGGCUGUGAAUGGUUUUCCUAAGUCUGUACCUUCCUGCAUAAGCACUGCUAUUUGAGCCAAGCUGGCAGUACUGCACAAAUAAAUGUUUUGCAUUAUCUUUUCA